rnacentral:misc_RNA from 1 species
GGAAGUAAAAGGUCGUAACAAGGUUUCCGUAGGUGAACCUGCGGAAGGAUCAUUACUGAGUGAGGGCCCUCUGGGUCCAACCUCCCACCCGUGUUUAUUAUACCUUGUUGCUUCGGUGAGCCCGCCUCACGGCCGCCGGGGGGCAUCUGCCCCCGGGCCCGCGCCCACCGAAGACACCUAGAACUCUGUAUGAAGAUUGCAGUCUGAGCAAAAACUAAAUAAGUUAAAGCUUUCAACAACGGAUCUCUUGGUUCCG